AGAGUUUGAUCAUGGCUCAGAACGAACGCUGGCGGCGUGCUUAACACAUGCAAGUCGAGUGCGCGCCUGUAGCAAUACAGGUGGCGCACGGCGCACGGGUGCGUAACACGUGGGUAAUCUGCCCUCUGAUGGGGAAUAACUCGCCGAAAGGCGAGCUAAUUCCGCAUAAUAUUCCGAAGACCUUGGUUUUUGGACUGAAAGGCGUAAGUCGUCGGAGGAGGAGCCCGCGCACGAUUAGCUAGUUGGUAGGGUAAUGGCCUACCAAGGCUUUGAUCGUUAGCUGGUCUGAGAGGAUGGCCAGCCACACUGGAACUGAGACACGGUCCAGACUCCUACGGGAGGCAGCAGUGGGGAAUCUUGCACAAUGGGCGAAAGCCUGAUGCAGCGACGCCGCGUGGGGGAUGAAGCUUUUCGGAGUGUAAACCCCUUUCGAUCCGGACGAAUGCCCGCAAGGGAGUGACGGUACGGAUAUAAGAAGCCCCGGCUAACUACGUGCCAGCAGCCGCGGUAAUACGUAGGGGGCCAGCGUUGUUCGGAAUUACUGGGUGUAAAGGGUUCGUAGGCGGUGCGGCAAGUUGGGAGUGAAAUCUCUGGGCUCAACCCAGAGACGGCUUCCAAAACUGCUGUGCUUGAGUGUGGGAGAGGCUCGUGGAAUUGCAGGUGUAGCGGUGAAAUGCGUAGAUAUCUGCAGGAACACCCGUGGCGAAAGCGGCGAGCUGGACCACUACUGACGCUGAAGAACGAAAGCUAGGGGAGCAAACAGGAUUAGAUACCCCCGUAGUCC
rnacentral:rRNA from 1 species